GAGAGAGAGAGAGAGAGGGUUAUUCCCUGAAGUCGUCGCCACGGGCAGCAGCAACAACAAAAUUACCCAAGCCGAGCGUUCCACAAGAUGGGUCAGAGCCGAAUUCGUUUAAUCUGGUACUGGCUGGGUACUUAGCGCACGAGUACCUAACUAAAGGGACGAUCUAUGGUCAACAAUGGGACCCAGCUGGAGCCGAAGAGGAGCGGAGUGAGGAUGGCGAACAAGAAGCCGAGCCGAAUAAGGAAA
rnacentral:misc_RNA from 1 species